CUACGGGUCGCUGCAGUGAGGAAUAUUGCACAAUGGGGGGAACCCUGAUGCAGCAACGCCGCGUGGAGGAUGACACAUUUCGGUGUGUAAACUCCUUUUAUAUGUCAAGAAGAUGACGGUAGCAUAUGAAUAAGCACCGGCUAACUCCGUGCCAGCAGCCGCGGUAAUACGGAGGGUGCAAGCGUUACUCGGAAUCACUGGGCGUAAAGGACGCGUAGGCGGGUUGGAAAGUCAGGUGUGAAAUCCUACAGCUUAACUGUAGAACUGCACUUGAAACUUCUAAUCUAGAGUAUGGGAGGGGGAGAUGGAAUUAGUGGUGUAGGGGUAAAAUCCGUAGAUAUCACUAGGAAUACCUAAAGCGAAGGCGAUCUCCUGGAACAUUACUGACGCUAAGGCGUGAAAGCGUGGGGAGCAAACAGGAUUAGAUACCCUUGUAGUC
rnacentral:rRNA from 1 species